GCACGUACCUGGCAGGGGAGAUACCAUGAUCACAAAGGUGGUUUUCCCCGGGCGAGGCUCAUCCAUCGCUCUCGGGAUAUGCUGACCCCUUUGAUUUCCCUAAAUGGGGGAACUCGACUGCACAAUUUGUGGUAGUGAAGGACUAUGUUCUUACUCUCCCCUA